rnacentral:rRNA from 1 species
GAUGAACGCUGGCGGCGUGCCUAAUACAUGCAAGUCGAGCGAACGGACGAGAAGCUUGCUUCUCUGAUGUUAGCGGCGGACGGGUGAGUAACACGUGGAUAACCUACCUAUAAGACUGGUAUAACUUCGGGAAACCGGAGCUAAUACCGGAUAAUAUUUUGAACCGCAUGGUUCAAAAGUGAAAGACGGUCUUGCUGUCACUUAUAGAUGGAUCCGCGCUGCAUUAGCUAGUUGGUAAGGUAACGGCUUACCAAGGCAACGAUGCAUAGCCGACCUGAGAGGGUGAUCGGCCACACUGGAACUGAGACACGGUCCAGACUCCUACGGGAGGCAGCAGUAGGGAAUCUUCCGCAAUGGGCGAAAGCCUGACGGAGCAACGCCGCGUGAGUGAUGAAGGUCUUCGGAUCGUAAAACUCUGUUAUUAGGGAAUAACAUAUGUGUAAGUAACUGUGCACAUCUUGACGGUACCUAAUCAGAAAGCCACGGCUAACUACGUG